UUAGGAAUUUUGCGCAAUGGCCGAAAGGCUGACGCAGCAACGCCGCGUGGGGGAUGAAGGCUUUCGGGUCGUAAACCCCUUUUAGAUGGGAAGAAAAAAAUGACGGUACCGUCAGAAAAAGCACCGGCUAACCCUGUGCCAGCAGCCGCGGUAAUACAGAGGGUGCAAGCGUUAUUCGGAAUCACUGGGCGUAAAGAGUUCGUAGGCGGUUUGUUAAGUCGAAUGUGAAAGCCCUGGGCUCAAUCCAGGAAGUGCAUUCGAUACUGGCAAGCUAGAGUGCAGGAGAGGAAGGCGGAAUUCCAGGUGUAGAGGUGAAAUUCGUAGAUAUCUGGAGGAACAACAGAGGCGAAGGCGGCCUUCUGGACUGUCACUGACGCUGAGGAACGAAAGCGUGGGGAGCAAAC
rnacentral:rRNA from 1 species